GUCGCAGCACUCUGCAGGCUGAGGGAGCUCUCUCGCUCUUUAUCCAGUUCCUCACCCCGCGCCUCCCACCCCGCCCCCCAUUUUUGUUUUGGCGGGGAAGGUAGGUAACUACAUAGUAAACGCUACCUUAAACCGAAAGAGAAAUAGGAUUUUUCUUUAAAAAAAAAAGUAAACUGUCCUUUUGUAUUGCCUUCAGACUCGGGCAGUUUGUUCCUAAUGCAGGCCCCGAUGUGGGACUCAAGCGUGUGCUAGGCACAUCGCAGGCUGUAGGCUGGUGUCUGCAUGUAGAGACUAACUUCCAUGGAAGUGUCGGGCAAAGGCUGCUAUCGGAGCCGGGAGUCUACUUUGACCUCUGGAAUGCGUUGCAUUUUUUUUUUUCCGUCCAGGUUGACUUACUGCCUAAUUGGGUUCAGGAGAGUGGCCUGGCGGUUUGCUCCAAUUUAUGCAAGCCAAGCGGGGAUUGGGGGCAGAGAACUGAAUGUGGCCUUGGUAUGGGGUGAUCAGUUGACUCUUGUGACUGGCAGCUGCUGAGGCUUGUUUUUGAUCUGAAGGUUCCAUGGUGAGGCUGGCUUCUGAAGCCACACAGACCCUGGCUUGAGUUCACCAGCUACAAGGAGGUAGGAUCCUGCCAACCUGUGGUCUGGGACAGAUUACCUUAGUCUACAUCCAACGUUUUGUACAUGUGUCCUGUAAGACUGGACAGUUCUGUUUUUAUCAAUAAGUCACUAUUGGCUUGAGUUGGCCCUUCGCAGGUGCUUGAUAUAGUCGCAGAUACUGGGGAGUGGGGAGGAAUAAUUUAGGGCCCCUUGGAGGUUUAAAAUAACAACUCCAGCAAUAAUAGCAGAUGCUCACAUAACUCCUUACUGUGUCUGGCAUGUUGCUAAGUGGAUUACAGACAUCAGUUAAUUUAGCCUCACAAGGGCACUAUGUUAAGUACUGUUGUUAUUCUUAUACUAAAUGCAAGGAAAUUGAGUCAGAGCUCCAGAUCACCGCCGGUCGGUACAGAACUGGGAUUCUAACUCCGUUAGACUCAGCCUCUGUACUGCCCUGAAGCACCACGGGAAAGGACUUUUUCUCCUCCAGUUUUGGAGUGAGGCCACCUAUUAGCAAGAGGGUGGGUUUGGGUUUGUUGGUGUUGAGGGCACAGAAACAAAGCAUAGCUUCCUGGUGGAGCGUUAGGUGAAACAGACAAGUGGAGUGGGUAGGCAUUUUAAGGGGGAGCCUGACCCUGGUUUGGAAUAUUCAGUAUGCACUGUUAGAUGUUUCCGGUAAUGAGAAGACAAGCAGGAGCCAUUCUUAGUGGUUAUUUAGGUGUCUUAUAUAAGUAGUUUUUUCAUUAGCCUUUCUGUAGAAAGAAAAAACAAUCUCAGGAUAGAAUAGACAGGACCUCAGUGUUGGGAUGUAGCCAUGCUAGUAAUACUGCCUAGAGCCACUCACCUAACCCUGCCUGAAGUUCCUUAAAGAUAGCCAACCUCUCUGUUCUGUGGAUGGAUCACUUAGGACUCAGAGUCAGCCUCCCAAGGUAGUCUGUGGACAGGAGAGAAUGCAGGUUCUGUAGUUGACCAAGGCCCAUACAUGACCUAUAUUACCAGAUCAUCCAGGGAACCGGUAAAAUGCAAAUGUCUGGGCUCCACCCCCUGGGUGUGGGCUUAGUACCAGGUCACCAUGGUUCGCUCUUUAUGCUGCUGAGUUGAAAACAGUUUGUAUGUCUAACCACUAAGAGAUUUGGGAAUCUGGGAGCGAACCUUUGAAUGAUCCUCCUCCCUACAAAUCUCGCUCGUCGAGUUAACAAAGUUGUAUUAAUGAGAAAAAAAAUUGUACUUAUUUUGAACUUGAUCAAUAAAAGAAUUAAGAGGGAGAUGUGUA
rnacentral:lncRNA from 1 species